UACAGAGGUCCCAAGCGUUGUUCGGAUUCACUGGGCGUAAAGGGUGCGUAGGCGGUCGGGUAAGUCUGACGUGAAAUCUUCAAGCUUAACUUGGAAACUGCGUCGGAUACUAUUCGGCUGGAGGAAUGGAGGGGAGACUGGAAUACUUGGUGUAGCAGUGAAAUGCGUAGAUAUCAAGUGGAACACCAGUGGCGAAGGCGAGUCUCUGGACAUUUCCUGACACUGAGACACGAAGGCCAGGGGAGCAAACGGG
rnacentral:rRNA from 1 species